CUCCUUUCAAUCUGCUCUCUACUAACGGACCCAAACCCCGACGACCCGUUGGUCCCGGAGAUUGCGCACAUGUACAAGAGCGACCGUGCGAAGUAUGAGUCCACAGCGAGGAGCUGGACCCAGAAGUACGCGAUGGGCUGACCCUGCGAGCCUAGGUGGAGGAUGAUGUUGGAGCCAUCUUCGCUUGUUACACCUAAUGUAUCUUUGUUCCUGUUCUGCUGCUGCUAUAUGGGAUUGUACUGUCCACCUACCUGACUGAAUUCAAGUGUCAUAUUGUGAAGUGAUGGCAGAAGGCCUGUAUGGGUCUAUGGGUGCACCCAUCCAACAAAUUAAUAGAGAUGGGAACUGAAACUAAAGUCGUUCCGUUGCUUGACCUGAUUGGUGCCCUCCCUUG
rnacentral:lncRNA from 1 species